rnacentral:rRNA from 1 species
GUGCCAGCAGCCGCGGUAAUACGGAGGGAGCUAGCGUUGUUCGGAAUCACUGGGCGUAAAGCGCACGUAGGCGGACGUGUCAGUCAGGGGUGAAAUCCCGGAGCUCAACUUAGGAACUGCCUUUGAUACAGCACGUCUUGAGUCCGGAAGAGGUGGGUGGAAUUCCUAGUGUAGAGGUGAAAUUCGUAGAUAUUAGGAAGAACACUGGUGGCGAAGGCGGCCCACUGGUCCGGUACUGACGCUGAGGUGCGAAAGCGUGGGGAGCAAACAGGAUUAGAAACCCGCGUAGUCC